UGGGAGGAUACUUGGUUAGGAGAUUCACCGCUGGCCUUGCAGUAUCCAUCCCUAUACAACAUUGCACAACGGAAAGAGGUUUCCGUUGCUACAGUGUUGGGUUCCAUUCCGCUUAAUAUUCAGUUUAGGCGGUCUGUUAUAGGUGAGCGUUGGGAUAGAUGGUUACAUCUUGUGCGUCGGUUAAUGGAGGUUAACCUUUCGGAUGUACCAGACACUUUGCAAUGGAAGCUUUCCAGGUCAGGAGUCUUCUCGGUUAAAUCCAUGUACACGGAUUUGAUUAAUACCGGGACUAUCCCGAGGACGGUACAUAUUUGGAAAGUUAAGGUGCCCUUGAAGAUAAAAGUAUUUAUGUGGUUUGUGCAUAAGGGUGUCAUUCUUACUAAAGAUAACUUAGCUAAGCGUAAGUGGGAAGGAAGUAAAAGAUGUUGCUUUUGUGAUGAGGAUGAAACAAUAGAACAUUUAUUUAUCAAAUGUCCGCUUGCUAAACUGCUUUGGAGAACUAUUCACGUUACUUUCAACAUAACUCCACCUCUCACGAUAUCACAUUUGUUUGAUAACUGGUUGGCUGGAGUG
rnacentral:rRNA from 1 species